UACGGUGGGAGCAAGCGUUGUUCGGAUUUACUGGGCGUAAAGGGCGCGUAGGCGGCCACUGCAAGUCAGUUGUGAAAUCUCCGGGCUUAACCCGGAAAGGUCAACUGAUACUGCAGGGCUAGAGUGCAGAAGGGGCAACUGGAAUUCUCGGUGUAGCGGUGAAAUGCGUAGAUAUCGGGAGGAACAUCCGUGGCGAAGGCGGCCACCUGGACCAGCACUGACACUGAGGCACGAAAGCGUGGGGAGCAAACAGG
rnacentral:rRNA from 1 species